rnacentral:rRNA from 1 species
UACGUAGGCAGCGAGCGUUGUCCGGAAUUAUUGGGCGUAAAGAGCUCGUAGGCGGUGUGUCACGUCGGCCGUGAAAACCUGCAGCUUAACUGUGGGCGUGCGGUCGAUACGGGCAUCACUGGAGUUCGGCAGGGGAGACUGGAAUUCCUGGUGUAGCGGUGAAAUGCGCAGAUAUCAGGAGGAACACCGGUGGCGAAGGCGGGUCUCUGGGCCGAUACUGACGCUGAGGAGCGAAAGCGUGGGGAGCAAACGGG